UACUUUGUUUUCUAGGGUUCCGCUACGUCAGUAGGCCUGGUCCGAGAGAAAACCCGUGGGUGGUCCCACGGACACGGAAGGGAAAAAGCCUGGGAGAU
rnacentral:sRNA from 2 species